ensembl:lncRNA
CAGUUCCCUCAGCACUCCCCACAAGCCUUGUGCUCCCCACACCCUUCACAGAUUCAUUGCCCUUCUCUGCACAUGCUCCAGGGCCUCAGUGUCUUUCUUGUAGUGAGAGGCCCAAAACUGAACACAGUACUCAAGAUGCAACUUCACCAGUGCCAACUACAGAGGGACGAUCCCCUCCUUCCUCCUGCUGGCUGCACUAUUGCUGAUACAAGCCAGGAUGCAAAUCAGUUACUUUUUUUUAUGCAGGAGAGCACCACAGUUGUGUGAAGCUUUGAGUCAACAGACACAGGAACACCACACCUUUUCUGGGACUCACUGCCCCGCUUCUUGUGUAAGCGUGCCUGUAGUGGACAUCAACAUCUAAAAUCAAUCUUGUCUUAACGUCUCAGAAAAAAAAACCCUCUUUUCAGCUGAGCAUCUCUUGGAAUCACCAUCUGCAGAUGGUACUUGAAGACUGAAAAUACAGCCAUGGAUUCUGCUCACAGGUUAGAGCUCAGAAGCAUGACUGCAAGAAGAAAGAAAUGGUGGCUGAUGGACAUCCAUGGGGCCAGACCUAGAGAGGAGGAGAUCCAAGAAGCAACAGGACCAUGAAAGCUAUGGAAAGCCAGGACAUCAU